UACGUAGGUGACCAGCGUUGUCCGGAUUUACUGGGCGUAAAGAGCGCGCAGGCGGUCGUUCAAGUCGAGUGUGAAAGCCCCCGGCUCAACUGGGGAGGGUCACGCGAUACUGAUCGACUCGAAGGCAGGAGAGGGUAGUGGAAUUCCCGGUGUAGUGGUGAAAUGCGUAGAUAUCGGGAGGAACAUCAGUGGCGAAGGCGACUACCUGGCCUGUUCUUGACGCUGAGGCGCGAAAGCUAGGGGAGCAAACGGG
rnacentral:rRNA from 1 species